UAGGCGGAAACCGAAAAGCCUUGAUAGAGUAGGUA
ncrna:unclassified sequences DTF805b RNA